CAUCGUAGCUUCUUUGUUUUUGUUUUGUUUUUACCUCUGCUGGUAGUUUCCUUUGUUCUGUUGUUUUAUUUUAGUAUCUUAGCUUUGGACUUCAUUAUGGACAAAUCCUGAAGGGGGAAAGCACUUGUAGACCCUGGACACCUCUCUGAUGGCUGCUAAGAGGAACUAUGAAUCGAGGACCCUUGGAGGGUAAAGCUAUCCGUACACUCUUCAAGGCCUCUCACCACUGGAACUAAAUCCUAUGGAUUCAGUUCUUCAGCUGCUAGGAAACUGGAAGAAGUGCCCAACACUGCUCUUCAAUUUGGAUCUUGUACCUUGGUGACAGCUGGAGGCAGCUGCUCCUGCAUCACUAUGACUCGCAGCCGGGAGCCUUCACCUCUACAGGAACUUCAUGGCCCAGGCGCCUUGGGGACGAUGCGGACGACCCAGCACCAGCACCCAGUCUUGAUGUUUCAAGGGCGGGCGUCGCUGGGAACCGAGAAGACGACGCGCACUGGGGCUUCCGUGUAACGUGCCCAGAUCACUGUGGGGGUCAAGAGAGGCGAAGACCGGCCCCAGCUCCGACAAGGAAUCCAGCCCACCGCGGCUGCUGACCGGCCCACGCCCGCCUCUUCCCCUCCGGUCACACUCAUUUCUGUUCUGUUUGUGCCUGUUCAUUUGAUUUAGACGGCAGUGACCUUUGGUGAGAUCAACAUUUUUCACAGAAAUAAAGAACUUCUACAAAGCUAUAGGGAAAAAGAAGCUUCUGAGAAGUCAAAUAUGAGAAAAGCAAAUAAUGAUUUUUGUCCCCCAAAAGACAGCAUUCAAUAUGCUGGUUAUUUAAAAUUAAAGGUCUUCAAAGGCCAUGCAUGGUGGGAGAAAGUUUACCCUUAUUUACCUAAAGAUCGAAUCUACUUCCAGAGAGAACUCAGUUACCUUCCAUCCCCACCCUAAAAUCUCUUUUAUCUGUGGCAGAGAUUCAGGAAUAUAACCAUACCUGAAUGGACUUUGUCACAGACAUUGUGUGUGGCAGAGUCACUCAAUUAUAAAGGGAAUGCAUUACGAGCUAAUUUCUGUCUUGUGGAUGUAUUCAUAUUCCCUAACACCAUUUACUGCCCAUCAAAAUUUCCUCCGUGAAGAAGGGGACACAAGCACCUGAACUUCACUGGGGCUGGGUGCUCACUUCAUGCGUUUCUUCAUGUAUGCUAAACUUGCACACCUUUUUCUCCUGUCAAUCUAUCAUUAAUUCAUUCAGCAAAACUUCAAAAAGAGAAGGGGAAGGUUUCUUUCAUUCUAUGAUUGUAUCUUGAAUUCUCACAACAAUUUAGGCAGAGUAGAUAUUAUGCCCAUUUGAGAAAAUGAAAUCUUGAGGUCCAGGGAACUUUACUGAACCACCUACAUUUCCCUGCCAAGUCUCUCUCUCUCUCUCUCUCUCUCUCUCUCUCUUUCUCUUUCUUCUCUCUCUCUCUUUCUGUUGUUUUUGAGUCAGAUUCUUGCUACAUAGCCCAUGCUCGAUUUGUAUAUAUGCUGGCCUCCAUACUCCUGCUUCAACUUCUCAAGAUAUAGGAUUGUAGGUGUGAAAUACCAUACACACCCCCAAGUCAUGUUCUUUGUUUUAUUUUAUUGAGACUUAAUUUUCAAAGCUUUUAUGUUUUUAAAAUCUUUAGUAGCAC